rnacentral:rRNA from 1 species
GCAGGCUGCAACUCGCCUGCAUGAAGUCGGAGUUGCUAGUAAUCGCAGAUCAGAAUGCUGCGGUGAAUGCGUUCCCGGGUCUUGUACACACCGCCCGUCACACCAUGGAAGUUGGGGGCGCCCGAAGUCGGCUAGGAAAUAGGCUGCCUAAGGUGAAACCAAUGACUGGGGUGAAGUCGUAACAAGGUAGC